rnacentral:rRNA from 1 species
GCAGCAGCCGCGGUAAUACGAAGGGGGCUAGCGUUGCUCGGAAUUACUGGGCGUAAAGGGCGCGUAGGCGGACAGUUCAGUCGGGGGUGAAAGCCCGGGGCUCAACCUCGGAAUUGCCUUCGAUACUGGCUGUCUUGAGUAUGAGAGAGGUGUGUGGAACUCCGAGUGUAGAGGUGAAAUUCGUAGAUAUUCGGAAGAACACUAGUGGCGAAGGCGACACACUGGCUCAUUACUGACGCUGAGGCGCGAAAGCGUGGGGAGCGAACAGGAUUAGAUACCCGCGUAGUCCCUGUCUCUUAUAC